UCUUGGUCAUUUAGAGGAAGUAAAAGUCGUANCAAGGUCUCCGUAGGUGAACCUGCGGAGGGAUCAUUACACAAAUAUGAAGGCGGGCUGGAACCUCUCGGGGUUACAGCCUUGCUGAAUUAUUCACCCUUGUCUUUUGCGUACUUCUUGUUUCCUUGGUGGGUUCGCCCACCACUAGGACAAACAUAAACCUUUUGUAAUUGCAAUCAGCGUCAGUAACAAAUUAAUAAUUACAACUUUCAACAACGGAUCUCUUGGUUCUGGCAUCGAUGAAGAACGCAGCGAAAUGCGAUAAGUAGUGUGAAUUGCAGAAUUCAGUGAAUCAUCGAAUCUUUGAACGCACAUUGCGCCCUUUGGUAUUCCAAAGGGCAUGCCUGUUCGAGCGUCAUUUGUACCCUCAAGCUUUGCUUGGUGUUGGGCGUCUUGUCUCUAGCUUUGCUGGAGACUCGCCUUAAAGUAAUUGGCAGCCGGCCUACUGGUUUCGGAGCGCAGCACAAGUCGCACUCUCUNNCAGCAAAGGUCUAGCAUCCAUUAAGCNUUUUUUUCAACUUUNGACCUNGG
rnacentral:rRNA from 1 species